rnacentral:snoRNA from 1 species
AAGACUGUACUUUCAGGGAUAAUUUCUAUAGUAUGUUACUAGAAAGUUUCUGAAGAGCAAAAGGAAACACUAUCAAAACAGA